rnacentral:rRNA from 1 species
CUACGGGGUGCUGCAGGCGAGAAAACUUUGCAAUGUGCGAAAGCACGACAAGGUUAAUCCGAGUGGUUUCUGCUAAAGGAACCUUUUGUCGGUCCUAGAAACACCGAUGAAUAAGGGGUGGGCAAGUUCUGGUGUCAGCCGCCGCGGUAAAACCAGCACCUCAAGUGGUCAGGAUGAUUAUUGGGCCUAAAGCAUCCGUAGCCGGCUCUGUAAGUUUUCGGUUAAAUCUGUACGCUUAACGUACAGGCUGCCGGGAAUACUGCAUAGCUAGGGAGUGGGAGAGGUAGACGGUACUCGGUAGGAAGGGGUAAAAUCCUUUGAUCUAUUGAUGACCACCUGUGGCGAAGGCGGUCUACCAGAACACGUCCGACGGUGAGGGAUGAAAGCUGGGGGAGCAAACCGGAUUAGAUACCCCCGUAGUC